AAAUUACAAAAAUAAUAAACAAUCCAAAUUUCUUUCCAUUGCUUAUACGAGGUGAACCGGCCCAGGGCCGAAAACCUCUUUAAUGAAGAUAAUAAUAAAUAAAUAUCCAUUGCUUUGUUUUUGAUGGGGUGAAUAUCUGAGCCAUGAGAUAAAUUCCAGGAGCAGUUCCCCUAUUUAUAUCCACCCAAAAGUAAAUUCCACUAUCCGCAAAAAUCAGUUCACGCACUUAAACAUAUUCAUUUAUCAUGAUCUGAUUAGUCAAGGCCAACGCACUGCCAGUGCACUGAAUGUCCUGGAUCAUAUGUUUCGAAUCAAAACAAACACGAUGCUACGCUACGCACACCAACAUAUCCAAUGACAGAUGGAACUGAAAAUGUUUUUUUAUUCAGGGUUCGGGUUGGCACUGACCCAGGUUUAAAAACGAAUUCGACAUAAGUGCCAUCCUUAAUAUUAAGAUGUUCCAAAUUGAGAUAGGGAGAGUUAGGCUUUUUGCUAGCACGAAUAAAAGUCUUGUAUAAUGGGUCCCCAACCUCGCGGAGAGGACGAGUUAAAAGAUUAAGGGAACAUUGGCGCCCAAAAAAAAAAAAAACAUUUAGACAUUUUGUAAACCGUUUGUGGCUAAAGUUAUUUAAAGUUCUUGUUUGUUUAGUAUUUUGGCUCAUUUAGAAGACUAACAUGGAGAUAGUUCCCUUGCAUUUGAGCGAGGAGAAGCUCAACUUUGAGUUAGCAUUGAGACACAUCACUGUUCUUGGUCUAACAACCCGUAGAAAUAAAUGCUUCAAGCUCAGAGAUGCUGUCGCUGGAUCACUCUAGCGCGUGAGUAUUCGACGUCCAAUCAUGUUAUGGAUGAUGAAGCGAAUAUUGAGAAUCGUCAGGCUCGUAUUAGAAUUCUUAUUCCCGCUUUAGAAAAAGCAAUGGAGAAGAAAGAUGUGGGAUUUCUUACACACACAGUUUCACGCCUACAGCAUUACAUGAAUCGACUGUCACGAAUUCAAACACCUCCAAUGCACCUUCAAGAGGUGUGCUUAAAGCUAAACGCGCUAAUAUCGUCUACGUUGGAAACGGUUUUCAUCGCAUUAGAUCCGACGCGUGUCAGCUCCGCGAGUGAAGUGAAUGCUGGUGAAGUGCCAUCCUCAGCAACAGUGGAUGUGUACACUGGUGCCGUGAGGAAAACUACAUCAAUCAGUGAACCAGUGCAUCAGCAAAUGAUUAGUUCAAUCGAGCCAGGAAUCCACAGCAGCCCUGUUCUCAACGGAGAUGGUAGACAGGACAGAAGGGUUCAAACUCAGCGCAACAAAGUCUGAUAGAGCUACUAGGAGAAGAGGAUGCAGUUCAGUCGCCGACGAGCAGAGAUAAGGCAAUACUACCAUGUAGCUACGCACAAAUGCUACGUGUGGAAGCAUGUUUUCAUUUUCAUGGAGCGACUGAGUCUUUCGCAAAAUUCUACCGAGACAUAUCAGCUCUGUUCCGGUUUGUGUCUCCACCAAUGUCAGAAGAAGAGCGUUUUUUAUAGUAAAUAAAAAUAUGAACACGGAGUACGCAUCAAUUGUUGCGCCAGCUCGCCCGCGAUUUUUGCAGGAGAUGGCAGAGGUUUGCAACGGAUUCGACGAAACGAGGAUGCUAUCAAGCCGUCAGCGGAGACUCGAUGCCACAGAGCUCACUUUUGGAACCAAAUUACGCGACACCCAAUACGGCUCAAAAACACAUUCAGCAUCUCAUCAGGCCACCUCCUGUGCGUUUUGGGAGAGUUCAUGCGUUGGAAAGCCACCAAGAAAAUAUCAAACAUGAGUUUCACCGAGACCGUACAGAAGACGAGCAACGCGACGAAGACAAUUGCAGCAAGCAGAUGGAAAACCAAAUUCAACAAGUCAACGCACUGAAAGUUCGGUUCGACCGCAAGGAGCAUUUCCGUCGAUCGGCCGCACAUCCAUACCGCUUCGAAUCAGGAACAUCUGGGGUUCCAGCAAUCCAGCCGAAUCCACAGAAAUAUCAACAACAACGAGUCCAAACACAAGCAUCUGAACGGUCGAUCGAAGAGGAACAACGUCUUCCGUUGCUAUGUUGGAACUGUGACGAGGAAGGACACAGGAAGGAUUCAUGAACUGUGACAAGCCACAAACCAUGUUCUUCUGUUACAGGUGUGGCCAGAAAGGAUUCUCCUUACGGAAUUGCCCAACACGGACAGAAAACUGUUAACAUUGAACCAAAAAACAUGAUUGUUGUUUUCAAAUCGUUACAUUUUAUUGAAUAUAGCGGGAAUGACGGCUUUGGCAGGUUUUGUUCUAUUAUUGGCAGGGGUUUUUUAUGACUGAUUUUGGCCUAAACAUUAUUUGCAUAUCAAAGGAUAUUGUGGCAAAAUUUUAUAAAAUUUGGUCGACAAAAACCCCCCUGAGAAUAAUAGAACAAAACCUGCCAAAGCCGUCUUUUCCCCUAUUAAGAAAUUUAUUGUUUCGACAAGAUUUGUUAACAUAAGAUCAAUAACAAAGUAUUAUUAUUUCAACAAUACUUAUUUGAAAUGAGCUUUUAGAAGAAGCUCGCAUGACGUUUGAAAAUUACCUCAGUGGGUUUUUGUGAACAAUAUUCGACAUUGAAUAUGUUUCCGUGGAAACUACAAAAACCUUUCGAAAAAUUCAACAUGCUUUUGCAACAUGCCACAGGUGUUUUUUUAGUGAAUGCCACUCAAAAGCAGUAAUGCUACGUUUAGACAAGGCAAGUGAAUUGAGCAAGUCGCUUGAAUUGAACGCGAACUGAACGUGUAAACACCUGAAUUCAAUUCACUUGAACGAAAAGAAUGUUGAACAUGUUCAACUUUUGGCAAGUCAAUUGAAUUCAACUGAGUUGUUCAAUUCACUGGCCCUGUCAAAACGUAGCAUAAAGCUUUGCUACGUUAAUGCUUUUUUUUCUUCAAUGGUUCUGUAUUCCGUCCGGAGCUUGGUUUGUUUUUCGACUUAGUGUUCUAUUUUAUAUAUCUUAUAAUAUAUCAUUUUAACAAAACGUAUAAUACGAGUCAAUAAAAUAUUUAUAUUUAUUUUAAUUCGUUGAAUAAAAUUUUUUACAAAAACCAAAAAGGGUAUUUUGUGGUUGUUUGGCUUGAUUUUAGUAAACAAAUCGAGCUUCCAUCAAAUCGACUUUUUUUCAAGUGGACAGAAAUUGACCGGACAUUAUAUUUAUACAGGAGACUGCUGUUGCCAAUUAUUGAGAACUUAUUGUUGGUUUAAGAAUGUGGCACGGCAACCAUCCGGUAAGAAAGCAUACCAAGCGAGAUACACAGCAUAUGAUCUUUAUAAGUAGGAAAGGUGGAAUUUCCCUCAAACAAAUCCACGGAGAUGUAAACAGAUAAAUAUUGACAUAAAUCCUGCCAAAUUGAAAAAAACGUACAGGAGGAAGUAUUUAAAAAUGUAGUGAAAUGCUAAAAAUGUAAUGAAGAAAAGCAAUAGAAAAAUAUUUUGAUUCUGAACCAACAAUGCAUUUAUUUAUUUAUAUUCAACCGAAUAAUUGAUUGGAAUAAAAAUACUUCUCUUUUUGAAUCAACAGUAAAUCUCUUUUUGAAUCAACAGUAAAUUUCUUUUAAAAUCAAUAAUAUUAUUUUUGUUAUGGUAUGGAAUAUUGGAAGCUAAUGCAAUCCAUAAGACAGCUGCGAACAGCUGACGAUUUUUGUUAACCUUGAUUUUUUGUCAGAUUCUGACCGGACUGACAGAAAAAUUCAAAGAAAAAUGUUAAGCGUGGCUUACACCAGAAGUGAGUUCCGUUCAACUGCAUACACACUUUGUUUUAAUUUCGAUUGUCAGUCCCAUCGCUGAAUGUCCUCAUGGAUAACAUAAUCUAGUGGUUUUGCUCAUCGACCGUUGUUAACACAUACCGCAGAUAAGCGGCGUUGUCUUGGUUGCCGGUUGCUUUCGGGCAGCUGCUUGCCCAAGCAGCAGCUUGUGCCACUCUUACCGCCACGCGUGGUAGACUAUCUCCAGCCGUCCCGUUCCGUACCCGUUCGAUUUGCAGCCGGCCAGGCAAUCGUUGGCCUCGGAGACCACCGUGUCGACGGAUCUGUAGGUGCAAAACAAAACCUGUUUUUAUUCCGUAGAACGCCCUUUAUUCGUUCGGAACAGCCUUUUCGCGGAUCUUUCGUGGGAACUGUUUCUGCGCGUCCCCAUAACGGUUGGCUUUCGAACAACUGGUGACUAAUAAACUUGUGGGUCACUAAGCUGGACACUGCGAUACGAUUUGCCACAUGGACGAGCGGCACUCCACCGUACUUCGAACAAGAUUUGAUCAACCCAUCUGCACGAUUAUGCGAAUCCGUUCAUCGAGGUUUGCUUUUAUUUAACAAUUUUCCGCAGAUCUUUCGUGCGAGCCGUUUAUGUGCGGCCUAGUAACGGUUGGUUUCGGGGUAAUCGUGGCUCACGAAUGCGUCGGUCACUGAACCGGUCACUGCGGUGUAGCUUGCGAUGUUGAUUGACGGCACUUCACCGUGCUUCGAAAGCGAAUGUGAAUGCCACUCGGGACAAUGGUCAAUUUCGACUGCUUCCUCUCAGCGAUGGAUUACCAACAUGCACGCGGUACCGUGGCCGUUCACGACAAUGGAUGCGUUGUUUCUCCUUUUCGAUUAUCGCCUGCCCCUUCGGACGGAAAUGCGAUGCAACUGACACGGCACGUCACCCCUUCUUCAAUAUAAUUUACCGGUGGCGUUUGUUUUCAACCCAGCAUAGGGAUGGCUAUGUUUAUUUUGUGUUUAUAAUCUAGUCUUUCCAAUUGCACGCUAACUAAUUCUACACAGCUGAACAGAACAAUGUGGCUCAAUUUCUGAACUGAAACAAGUCAUCAGAUGCGUCGUCUGCGGAAGACUAUGUACCCGAAACGACAAGUACAACCGAGAAAUCUUCCAGCGAGAAAGCAUGUAUUAAUACCAUCGAACCAAACGCAUCGCCCGGUAAAGAGAGAUGUAGAAUAGCUUCGUAUGAAUGGCUACCAGAGGAAUAGCUAAAGCUAUGAGGGGUGAUUCAACUAUGACGUCCACUAAUUUUUUGG